ACGAGUGGCGGACGGGUGAGUAAUGUCUGGGAAACUGCCUGAUGGAGGGGGGUAACGUACUGGAAACGGUAGCUAAUACCGCAUAACGUCGCAAGACCAAAGAGGGGGACCUUCGGGCCUCUUGCCAUCGGAUGUGCCCAGAUGGGAUUAGCUUGUUGGUGGGGUAACGGCUCACCAAGGCGACGAUCCCUAGCUGGUCUGAGAGGAUGACCAGCCACACUGGAACUGAGACACGGUCCAGACUCCUACGGGAGGCAGCAUG
rnacentral:rRNA from 1 species